GAUUAAAGUAACAAAGGGCAC
rnacentral:rRNA from 1 species